UUUCCGGUUGAUCCUGCCGGAAGUCACUGCUAUUGGGAUCGGCUAAGCCAUGCAAGCGGAGGGCGCGGUCGAAAGAUCGUGGCCCCGCACACUGCUCAGUAACACGUAGUCAACCUACCCUUGGGACGGGGACAACCUCGGGAAACUGAGGCUAAUCCCCAAUAGGUGAGGGACGCUGGAAUGCAUCCUCGUCCAAAGCUCCGGCGCCCAGGGAUGGGACUGCGGUCUAUCAGGCUGUUGGUGGUGUAACGGACCACCAAACCUACGACGGGUACGGGCGAUGGGAGUCGGAGCCCGGAGAUGGGGACUGAGACAAGGCCCCAGGCCCUACGGGGCGCAGCAGGCGCGAAAACUCCGCAAUGCGCGCAAGCGUGACGGGGGAAUCCCAAGUGCCGUUGGUCUUAUGAUCGACGGUUUUUAGGAAGUCUAAGAAGCUUCCAGAAUAAGGGCUGGGCAAGACUGGUGCCAGCCGCCGCGGUAACACCAGCAGCCCAAGUGGUGACCACGAUUAUUGGGCCUGAAGCGCUCGUAGCCGGAUCAGCAAGUCCCUUGUGAAAUCGGGCCGCCUAACGGUUCGGUGUGCAAGGGAUACUGUUGGUCUUGAGGCCGGGAGAGGUCGGAGGUACUCCUGGGGUAGCGGUGAAAUGCUCUAAUCCUAGGGGGACCACCAGUGGCGAAGGCGACCGACCAGAACGGACCUGACGGUGAGGGGCGAAGGCUAGGGGAGCGAACGGGAUUAGAUACCCCGGUAGUCCUAGCUGUAAAGCAUGCGGGCCAGGUGUCUAGCGCUCCUUGAGGGCGCUAGGUGCCAGAGGGAAGCCGUUAAGCCCGCCGCCUGGGAAGUACGGCCGCAAGGCUGAAACUUAAAGAAAUUGGCGGGGGAGCACCACAAGAGGUGGGACCUGCGGUUCAAUUGGAUUCAACGCCGGA
rnacentral:rRNA from 1 species